GAUGAAGAACGUAGCGAAAUGCGAUAAGUAAUGUGAAUUGCAGAAUUCAGUGAAUCAUCGAAUCUUUGAACGCACAUUGCGCCCCUUGGUAUUCCGGGGGGCAUGCCUGUUCGAGCGUCAUUACAACCCUCAAGCUCUGCUUGGUCUUGGGCGUCACCGGUCUCCGGUGUGCCUUAAAAUCAGUGGCGGCGCCAUCUGGCUCUAAGCGUAGUACAUACUCUCGCUACAGACGUCCGGUGGAUGCUGGCCAGCAACCCCCAAUUUAUCAAGGUUGACCUCGGAUCAGGUAGGGAUACCCGCUGAACUUAAGCAUAUCAAUAAGCGGAGGA
rnacentral:misc_RNA from 1 species